AGAUUUUCGAGUCCCUGCAUAGAUUUUGUCAGACACCAACCCAUUAGGGCUGAUCAGACUUCUAAGAUAAGUGAACUU
rnacentral:pre_miRNA from 1 species